UACGUAGGGUGCAAGCGUUGUCCGGAAUUAUUGGGCGAAAGAGCUCGUAGGCGGUCUGUCGCGUCGGCUGUGAAAUCCCGAGGCUCAACCUCGGGUCUGCAGUCGAUACGGGCAAACUAGAGUAUUGCAGGGGAGACUGGAAAUUCCUGGUGUAGCGGUGAAAUGGCGCAGAUAUCAGGAGGAACACCGGUGGCGAAGGCGGGUCUCUGGGCAAUAACUGACGCUGGAGGAGCGAAAGCGUGGGGAGCGAACAG
rnacentral:rRNA from 1 species